UACGUAGGGAGCAAGCGUUGUCCGGAAUCAUUGGGCGUAAAGCGCGCGUAGGUGGCUUCGUAAGUCCGUUGUGAAAGUCAAAGGCUCAACCUUUGAAAGCCGAUGGAUACUGUGAAGCUAGAGUACGGAAGAGGCGAGUGGAAUUCCUGGUGUAGCGGUGGAAUGCGCAGAUAUCAGGAAGAACACCAAUGGCGAAAGCAGCUUUCUGGGACGGUACUGACGCUGAGACGCGAAAGCGUGGGGAGCGAACAGG
rnacentral:rRNA from 1 species